CUCCCUCUGCCUGUGUCUCUGCCUCCCUCUGUGUGUCUCUCAUGAAUGAAUAAAUAAAAUCUUUAAAAAACAAAAUGGCUAUUGACUCAAGACCAGCCAUCCUCCAACUCAGGAGGAGCUGAGAGUUGAGAGUCAAGGCACAGAGCCUUCUUUAAGCCAAGGAUGGCAGAUUCCCAUUAGGGCCGUUUCCCAGAGAACUAAUGUCCUCCUAGGUUAAUGGCUUAGGGCAAAUGAACUCAUCUGCUGGCUGCUCUUUAGGAACACCUGGGGUGUCCCAUUGCUACAGCUUAAUUAAAGGACUGCAGGCAACCAGGUCGGCCAGGGGACAUUGAGACCUUGACUAAUUGUAAUAUCGUGCUCAUUACAUUUCUGGAAGGAACCAUAAGCUGGGUCCCUCAUGAACCCUCUAUCCCCAAAGUAAGCAGGCCACUGUUUCGAAUUUCCUCCAGAAAUCUGCUUCUCAGGGAGCUGCCAACACCGGGCAAAGACUCAAUUUUGUUGCCACAGGGCACAGCUUGGCAACAGAGCAUUGGGGGACAUUUUGAUUGUGUGCCAGGCAGGACUCAUGGGUGCUCCACCUACCGCACUCCAAGUGUUGUAGGAGCAGGUGGGCACGAUAAGACGGGACUUCCCACACCUGAAGGUCCAUCUGCAGCGCUUGGGUAAGAAACACUCGUGACAGAUCAACAUUUUCUCCGUCUCCUUCAUGGGUUCCUCCUCCUCCUUCCACUCCUCCUGUCUGCAGGUCUCCACGCUGACUAAAGCCAGGCUCUGUGGAGGACUGCCAUCUCGGCCCGUGUUAGCAGCCCUUGGGGGACGGCCAGAGCAGCAUAGGCAUGGCACUCAAAGGACCAGACUUUGUUUGGGAAGAUGGCGCCAGCCACUGCAUGUCAGCUUUAGAAAAACCAAUUAUUUAUGGUCUUCACUGACAGAACAGCUAAGUAAUGCUCUAUUAAUAGAGCUUAGGCCCUGGUGUGGCAAUGUGGCAUAAAGGCCUCCAGUCAGCGCAGUGCCUCUAGGAGGACACCUCCAGCGGCAGUCAG
rnacentral:lncRNA from 12 species